rnacentral:rRNA from 1 species
UACGUAGGGACCAAGCGUUGUUCGGAUUUACUGGGCGUAAAGGGCGCGUAGGCGGCAUGACAAGUCACUUGUGAAAUCUCUGGGCUUAACUCAGAACGGCCAAGUGAUACUGUCGCGCUAGAGUGCAGAAAGGGCAAUCGGAAUUCUUGGUGUAGCGGUGAAAUGCGCAGAUAUCGGGAAGAACACCCGUGGCGAAGGCGGCUCUCUGGGACGGUACUGACGCUGAGACGCGAAAGCGUGGGGAGCGAACAGG